rnacentral:rRNA from 1 species
GGNGUAAAGGGAGCGCAGGCGGUUUAGUAAGUCUGAAGUUAAAGGCAUUGGCUCAACCAAUGUAUGCUUUGGAAACUGUUAGACUUGAGUGCAGAAGGGGAGAGUGGAAUUCCAUGUGUAGCGGUGAAAUGCGUAGAUAUAUGGAGGAACACCGGUGGCGAAAGCGGCUCUCUGGUCUGUCACUGACGCUGAGGCUCGAAAGCGUGGGUAGCGAACAGGAUUAGAUACCCUGGUAGUCCACGCCGUAAACGCUGAGUGCUAGGUGUUAGGUCCUUUCCGGGACUUAGUGCCGACGCUAACGCAUUAAGCACUCCGCCUGGGGAGUACGACCGCAAGGUUGAAACUCAAAGGAAUUGACGGGGGCCCGCACAAGCGGUGGAGCAUGUGGUUUAAUUCGAAGCAACGCGAAGAACCUUACCAGGUCUUGACAUCCCGAUGCCCGCUCUAGAGAUAGAGUUUUUCUUCGGAACAUCGGAGACAGGUGGUGCAUGGUUGUCGUCAGCUCGUGUCGUGAGAUGUUGGGUUAAGUCCCGCAACGAGCGCAACCCUUAUUGUUAGUUGCCAUCAUUAAGUUGGGCACUCUAGCGAGACUGCCGGUAAUAAACCGGAGGAAGGUGGGGAUGACGUCAAAUCAUCAUGCCCCUUAUGACCUGGGCUACACACGUGCUACAAUGGUUGGUACAACGAGUCGCAAGCCGGUGACGGCAAGCUAAUCUCUGAAAGCCAAUCUCAGUUCGGAUUGUAGGCUGCAACUCGCCUACAUGAAGUCGGAAUCGCUAGUAAUCGCGGAUCAGCACGCCGCGGUGAAUACGUUCCCGGGCCUUGUACACACCGCCCGUC